GACAGGUUUAAAAAAAAAAAAAAAAAGUAUUUACCCCAUGGCCACGCCCACAAUCCCCUCGCUCCAUGGCUUCGACCAGCACUUCGCUCUACUGGAGACAGUGUUGUAAUGUGUAUAGGCUAGAUGGAAUUGCAGUCUGGGUCAUUGGCGACAGCUAUUGCCAGCAUGGUGCCCAGAGAGCUGCAGAGCUUAGGAAGCAUCUUCACUCUGCUGGACGUCUCUUGGUCUGGCUGGCUUCUCCCCUUCUUCUACAAGCAUGGAAAAUCACCGCAGUGACCGCACACAACCUCCGUCUGAUGCACAUGAAACCGAGACUGUGCAGCACCUUGCUAGAGUUCAGUUCUUCUGUGGGGUAAAGAUGGAGGAUGGAACUGGAUAAACCUAUCACCGUGUGGCCAUACAGUUUUGUACCUCAAUGCAGCUGGGAAUAAUAAGGCAGAGACUGGUUUGAGGUUUUUCAUGGAGAAUGUGCAGAAACAUGGAUGGCCAUCAAGAGUACGCGGUGACCAAGGCGUAGAAAAUGUAGAGAUAGCAAGAUCCAUGUUCACUGUGCGAGGAACAGGUCGUGGCAGCUUUAUAGCUGGGAAAAGUGUGCACAACCAAAGAGUGGAACGACUAUGGAGAGAUGUGUGGAACAUUGUAACAUCUCAGUACUGCAACAUGCUUCACACCUUGGAGGAAGAGGGGUUUGUAGACCUCUCAAAUGCUGUCACCUCUUCUGUCUUGAGUACGUUUUCAUUCCACGUCUACAAGCAGACCUUCAAAACUUUGUAGAGACAUGGAAUUGUCACCCCUUGAGGACUGAGGCAAACCUCACCCCUAAUCAGGAUGCAAGUACCGGUGCAAGAGCCAGAUCUGUCAGAUCAGGUGGAACACUUGCCUGACUAGGAAGCUUGUGGUGCUGAUCCAGAACACAGAGUCAUAGUGCCAGAAACUGCAUGCCCCUUGUCAGCUGAGGCUCUUGCUGCCUUACAAGAUAUUAACCUCAGUGCAGAGUCCUCUUCUCUUGGAUAUCUAUAUGCAUGCUCUUCAAUUGGUCUCAUUCCUUAUGUAAGAGCUGGAUAAGCAGUUUACAAAACAUAGCAUUUGUUUGUUUUGUAUUAUUUAACACUGUAUUUGAC